CGGGCCGCAGCAGGCGCGAAAACUUUACAAUGCUGGGAACAGCGAUAAGGGAACCUCGAGUGCCAGGUUACAAAUCUGGCUGUCGAGAUGUCUAAAUAGCAUAAUAUAGCAAGGGCCGGGCAAGACCGGUGCCAGCCGCCGCGGUAACACCGGCGGCUCGAGUGGUAACCGUUAAUAUUGGGUCUAAAGGGUCCGUAGCCGGCCGGAUAAGUCUUUCGGGAAAUCUGGCAGCUUAACCGUCAGGCUUUCAGGGGAUACUGUCAGGCUCGAGGCCGGGAGAGGUGAGAGGUACUUCAGGGGUAGGAGUGAAAUCUUGUAAUCCUUGAAGGACCACCAGUGGCGAAGGCGUCUCACCAGAACGGGUCCGACGGCAAGGGACGAAAGCUGGGGGCACGAACCGGAUUAGAUACCCGGGUAGUCCCAGCCGUAAAC
rnacentral:rRNA from 1 species